rnacentral:lncRNA from 1 species
UUGAUUAAGCUUAUCAGAUAAUAUGCGCGGUCUGUGGGCUUUAUAAGAAGCCAUUGGGAGCCCGGUACCUCACAACGUUCUAGGACCUUCAAGAUACAAGUCGUUGGUACGAGUUCACCAAAACACAAAUUAUCAUUAAAAUGGAAUCCAAAAAGCUUAUGAUCCUUCUCGUCAUCUCAUGCGUCUUACUGUCAGUGUCGGUCGACUUCACCAACGCCCAGGGACUACGAUGGGGCCGUCGGGAAUUCAACGAUGACUAUGCCGAUGCCAAAGCAUUCAAGGAAUGGCUUGAACAGCGAGACGCCAACAAGAAGAGGGAAUACAAAGCAAACAGGAGUUGAACACGGCAAGAUACUGGANAUGACAUUUAAAAUUGUAGUAAAUAAAAAACAGCACAAAUAAAACACAAACUUAAUUCAAUUUGUAAGCCAAUAAUGAUUUGAAAAUUAAUUAAAAUUCAUUACGGCAACUGGUUA